rnacentral:tRNA from 1 species
ACGCUUGUGAUCCAGAGGUAGGAUCCCAGCCUUCCAAGCUGGAAGCCCGGGUUCGAUUCCCGGCGAGCGUA